GACGAACGCUGGUGGCGUGCUUAACACAUGCAAGUCGAACGGUGAUGCUCCAGCUUGCUGGAGUGGAUCAGUGGCGAACGGGUGAGUAACACGUGAGCAACCUGCCCCCUACUUCGGGAUAAGCCUUGGAAACGGGGUCUAAUACCGGAUAUGAGCGCCUGCCGCAUGGUGGGUGUUGGAAAGUUUUUCGGUGGGGAUGGGCUCGCGGCCUAUCAGCUUGUUGGUGGGGUAAUGGCCUACCAAGGCGUCGACGGGUAGCCGGCCUGAGAGGGCGACCGGCCACACUGGGACUGAGACACGGCCCAG
rnacentral:rRNA from 1 species